rnacentral:rRNA from 1 species
UACGGAGGGUGCGAGCGUUAUCCGGAAUUACUGGGUUUAAAGGGUGCGUAGGCGGCCAUGUAAGUCAGGAGUGAAAGUUUGCGGCUCAACCGUAAAAUUGCUUUUGAUACUGCAUGGCUGGAAUCAGGAUGAGGUCAGCGGAAUGUGGCAUGUAGCGGUGAAAUGCAUAGAUAUGCCAUAGAACACCAAUUGCGAAGGCAGCUGGCUAGACCUGUAUUGACGCUGAGGCACGAAAGCGUGGGGAGCGAACCGG